UCCCUGGUGGCUCAGAGGUUAAAGCAUCUGCCUGGAAUGCGGGAGACCUGGGUUCUAUCCCUGGGUCGGGAA
rnacentral:tRNA from 1 species